GUCACACCCGUUCCCAUACCGAACACGGAAGUUAAGCUCUCUAGCGCCGAUGGUAGUUGGGACCUUGUCCCUGUGAGAGUAGGACGUUGCCAGGCA
rnacentral:rRNA from 2 species